UCAGCUGGUGUGUGAGGGACAGUCGCGAUGAGGACCCACCUCACGUUUUCGGCCAAACCUUCUCCACAAAGUUUGAAGUCCCUUUUUAAUCUCAUCAGUAAAAAUCAUGAGCUGGCACCAUGACUCGGAAUCAGAUCUUAACCCUGAGGGGAGGUGGGGAGGGGGUCGACGAAGUUUAGGCAGUGAGAAAAAUAGGGGUGACUAAUAAUAGCCUCCACUAACAAAAGAGAAUGAGAGAGGAUGAGAUGACGCGAGGUGCGGUUAAAUAGAGGGGAACCCAAAUUGCUCUUCGCAUCUCUGAUCGUGUCCAUCGUUUAGUGAUCACAUCUUCUUUGCCUCUUCUGUCACCGGGGGAUUCCAUCAUCAGGAUGCCGGAGCAUUUGUGAGUGA